AUUGAACGCUGGCGGCAGGCUUAACACAUGCAAGUCGAGCGGAGAGAGGUAGCUUGCUACUGAUCUUAGCGGCGGACGGGUGAGUAAUGCUUAGGAAUCUGCCUAUUAGUGGGGGACAACAUUUCGACAGGAAUGCUAAUACCGCAUACGUCCUACGGGAGAAAGCAGGGGAUCUUCGGACCUUGCGCUAAUGGAUGAGCCUAAGUCGGAUUAGCUAGGUGGUGGGGUAAAGGCCUACCAAGGCGACGAUCUGUAGCGGGUCUGAGAGGAUGGUCCGCCACACUGGGACGGAGACACGGCCCAGACUCAUACGGGAGGCGGCAGUGGGGAAUAUUGGACAAUGGGCGCAAGCCUGAUCCAGCCAUGCCGCGUGUGUGAAGAAGGCCUUAUGGUUGUAAAGCACUCUAAGCGAGGAGGAGGCUACUUUAGAUAAUACCUAGAGAUAGUGGACGUUACUCGCAGAAUAAGCACCGGCUAACUCUGUGCCAGCAGCCGCAGUAAGAC
rnacentral:rRNA from 1 species